AAGUGAGCCUGAUGUCUAAGGGUAUUGAAGAGAGAGGGACUGAAAGAAAUGGGGUACCAUAUCCACGUCACCCAAGAAACCACGCUGUGAAUGCUGCGAAGUACAAGCAGGAUCGAAGAGUCAGACCCACACCAUUCCUGCUCGCGAUGACACCCUGGCAUCUGAAGAACAACAUGACACCCACCACAAAACGCUGCUGUUGGCUAGCGCUGUCUUAAACGGUGAGGUUUCAUGAGGGAGGUGAGACUGCCAAAGGAAGGCAAGUGGGGGUGUCACAGCAACGGGAC
rnacentral:lncRNA from 1 species